GUUGAGAAACAUAUUGGCCAUGAUCAAAUGAUGAAGCAGACUCGAUGGGCUGAAAGGCCCAAUUCUGCCUCUAAUGGUUAUGGUCUUGUAAAUCAACCAUCCUGCCAACUGACCUAACUGAUCCUCUGCUGCAUUUGUGUGAAAGAACAGGAGAAUUUGUGUGUGGAAUCCAGAUACAUGUGCUGUGAUAUUGUAUUAUAAGUGAUCCCACUGGCAUUAUUUUGCAACCUCAACAGUCACAAAGCCAGUCAAAUAAUGUACUGAUUGUGACAUAUCUCAUUUGUAUGAAUUCUGCACAAGAAGCAGUUGGGAAUGUUAACCUUUCAGCACAGUAGUUGCGAAUUGACAGUCGUGAUAGCCAAUGCAUUAAAGACCCCUAAACUGUUAUUUAUUUUUAAAAGAUUUUCAUGACAUUGGGAAGAUUUAUAGUAUACAAACCCAUUCUUUAAAGCAAUAUAAUUUUAAUUGUUUGAAAAAUAAAUCCACAUGUCAUUUUAAGUUGCCAGUUUUGUAUAUGAGGGUGGUUAGGCAGCCAGGACUCUCCCAGUGAUGCUGUGCCUGAUCAAGGUGUGCAAGAGCAACUUCUGCAUAACUUCCCCUCUCUCUUCAUGUCCCAAUGUCACUUCUGCCUCAGAAUGAGGAGUUUUCUCGCCUUAAUGCAACUUUGGGCAGGCAUUGGAGAUUCGCCAUGAGGGACUAUUGCAGGCAGGCAGAUUGUAACUAUUCUGUAGGCCUUAAUAAGCUGGAAGUCCUACAGCGGCCUUCUAUUCCUGAUCCUUUUUAACCUUUUGUUAAAAUUCCUUUAUCUUACUGCUUAUUGCAAACUGAUUCAUAAAGUAAUGCAGUACUAAAGAAAAUGUACUUUCACCUUAUCUAUCCAGAUAGUGAUCUUGCAGGAAAUUAAUUAAAAUCAAUUCAGGUAUAGUACGCAUCAUACUUGUUAUAUAUUUAGUUUGCCAGGAGGCCUGUUGUAUAACACGUUCCUAAAGAUUUUUCUUUUAUCUAUAUUUUUUCUCUCUGGAGGCCUUUACUUACAAAAACUGUGAGACGCACUGUAUCAGGACUUUGCAUGCAGCUGUUCAAAGUACAAUGUGAUAUCAUUUCACGUUGUACAAUUUGUGUACAUAGACUAUUGAUUUGGUUAGUCAGUAAAAGACUGAGUUCUCAGAGCCCCUCAGACUUGCCAUGGUGCAGAUAAUUGGCAAUACAUUUUCCUCUUCUCCUGAGAUGUCUUUCUGAAUUAAAGAAGAUAGGCCUGGGUUUCCUGAUUCUGUCCAUAUCACAUUGUGAUUUUUUUUUAACCCAAACAUUGCUUCAUGAAUGAUGAAACCCCACAGAAAAGUAAAACAAGUUCUGUGGGAACAAACGGCAAUCGGCAACCUGUGUUACAACUGAACAUUGUACAGUACCUUUUUUAGUCUGUCAAAUUUGUGUUUAGUCAUUUUUCUUUUCACUCAUGGAAUGUGAGCAUCAUUAUCCAGGUCAGCAUUAUUGCCCAGAGAGCAGUUAAGAUCAACCACGUUGCUGUGGCUCUGGAGUUGCAUAUAGGCAAGGUUAGUAGAUUCGUUUCCCUAAAGGACAUUAGGGAACCAGAUGGGUUUUUAAAACAAUCAAUAAUGGUUGCACAGUUGCAUUAGGCUAACUUUUAUUCCUGAUCUUCUUGAAUUCAAAUUUCAUCAUCUGCCAUGGUAGGAUUUCAACACGUGUCCCUAGAAUGUGUGGAUUCCAGUGUCAUUACUACAACUUCACUGCUUCAUCCAUUUCUAAACAUUAAAUCUUUAACAAUUUAGAAUGUUUGUUCAUGAAGGUUCUGAGUUCGCCUUAAGGUUCAGUAGAAGAGAAUUGUUGGUGAACCAAGCCACUCAUGACACUCUUCUGCUGCACCUUUCAUUUUAAGAUCUAUUUUCUAUUAGCUAUUUGAAGUGUGAAUCUGAAUAAGUUGCAUGUAUGCGUUAUAAACCAAAUUUCAAACAAAUAUGCCCCAAAAAAAAAGAGAAAAUCAACUUAGAACAAGCCUACGAGUAAUAUGAAAAGUGAUACUAAAUGCUUCUUUAAAAAGUGUAAAAAUGAACGAGAAUGACUAAAGUGAAUGUAGGCCCCUUAAAGAAUGAGAUGGGGAAAUAAUAAUGGGGAACGAGGCAAAUGGCAUAAUUGAAUAAUUUCUUUGCAUCAGUCUCUACAGUAGAGGUGACAUUAGUAUUUCAAAAUGCUAAGUAAUCAAAGGGGUUGUGGUGGAGAGGGAGAAAAUAAACAUGAUAUCACUAGAGAUAAAGUGCCAUGGAAACUAAUGGGAGUUAAAGGAUGAUAAGUCCCCUGGACAUGAUGGGUUGUAUCCUAGGAAUUUAAAAGAAGUAGCUACAGAGGUGGAUGAUGCACUGGUGGUAAUCUUCCAAGAAUCCUUAGAUAUUGGAAAACUGCCAACACAGCAGUCUCUCUCAUUCAAAAAGCGAGGGUGACAGAAGUGAGUAUCUAUAGACCAGUUAGCUUAACAUUGGUCAUUGGGAACAUUUCAGAGUCUGUUCUAAAGGACGUAAAGCAGAGCAUUUAGAAAUACAUAAGAGGAUUGUGUGGAGUCAGCAUGACUUCAUGAAGGGGAAAUCAUGUCUGACAAACUUAUUGGAUUUCUUUGAGGAGGUAUAAAGCAGGAGAGAUAAGGGAGAACAGUAGAUGUAAUACAUUCGGAAUUCCAAAAGCCAUUUGAAAAUGACUGCAAAUAAGGCUACUUAGUAAGAUGAUCCAUGGUGUUGGCAGCAGUAUGUUAGCAUAGGUAGAGGAUUAGCUAACUAACAAAAGAAUAAGAGGAGACCUUAUGGAAAUAUAAGACUCUUCGGGGACUUGACAAAGUAGAUGUGGAGAAGUUGUUUCCUCUUUUGGGAGAUUCUAUGAUCAAAGGGCUUAAUCUCAGAACAAGGGGUCACCCAGUUAAAAUGGAUGAGGAAUGAUAUCGCUCAAGGAGGGAGUGAAUCUGUGAAAUUCUUUACUGUGGAGUGCUUUCAAAGCUCGGUUGUUAAGUAUAUCCAAGGCUGAGAUAGACAGUAAGGGAAUUGAAGUUUAUGGGAAUAAGGCAGGAAACUGGAGUUGAGGAUUAUCAGAUUAGCUGUUAUCUCAAUGAAUACCAGAGGAGACUCAGUGGGCUGAAAGGCCUAUUUCUGCUUCUACAUCUUAUGGUCUAAUUUUCUGAAUCAGAAACCAUUUUAGUUUGAAAUGUGCAGUUGCAGUAAUGGCUUGUGUGAUUUCUAAUCCAAGACAUUAUACAUUGUUUUGCAAGUGUAAUUUGUAUUGGGAGGAAUGUAUUCAUUGCAGUGACAGAUAUUCAAGGCAUCUUGGGUGCUAGGUGAAACUGCAAUUGAGAUGUAGUGCAAAGUGCAGUGGUAUAUAACAAAGACUUGGUUUCAGAACAUUUGAGAACCAAUUUCAAUGUUUAUAUUUGGGAGUAAUCACCACUCAUAAUAUGCAAUGGAUAAUGGCAGCUUUAAUUAUGUACUCAAGAUAGUGACAAAGCAGCAGCUACAACUGAACAGUUUAUUGUAUCUGGAAAUAGGACAGUUUUCACUGAGGUUAUCAUUGUGUUUGUGAUUGCCGUGAUGUUCUUGUAAUGAUCCAUUUUAUUCCAAGCACAAAUCUGACAAAUCUUGCUUCAGGAUUGAUAAAUGAGGAAGUGCGAUACCAUAAGGAGUCUACAAGAUCGUGCACUUUUAGAGGCUCACCAGCAGAGCAGAAAGGCGGAGCGUAUGCUAGCAGCAGGAAGGUAUGCUGAAGCAAUUGAUUGUCAUGGGAAGGCUGCAGAUCAUCUCGGAGAAGCCAUGAAACUAACAGAGUCAGAACAGGUACGUAAGGAAAUAUGAG